rnacentral:rRNA from 1 species
GAUGAACGCUGGCUACAGGCUUAACACAUGCAAGUCGAGGGGAAACGACGGGGAAGCUUGCUUCCCCGGGCGUCGACCGGCGCACGGGUGAGUAACGCGUAUCCAACCUGCCUCUGACUGAGGGAUAACCCGUCGAAAGUCGGCCUAAUACCUCAUGGUAUCGUCUGCGGGCAUCCAACGACGAUUAAAGAUUUCAUCGGUCAGGGAUGGGGAUGCGUCUGAUUAGCUUGUUGGCGGGGUAACGGCCCACCAAGGCUACGAUCAGUAGGGGUUCUGAGAGGAGGGUCCCCGACAUUGGAACUGAGACACGGUCCAAACUACUACGGGAGGCAGCAGUGAGGAAUAGUGGUCGAUGAGCGAAAGCCUGAACCAGCCAAGUAACGUGCAGGAAGACGGCCCUAUGGGUUGUAAGCUGCUUUUAGGCGGGUAAAAAGUGAGGGACGGGUCCCUCAUUGCAGGUACCGAAUGAAUAAGGACCGGCUAAUUCCGUG